CAACGUGCCUGAACCAUGACCUUUGUGUCUUUGGGGUUUCAUCUCUAGCCUACCCCAACUCGUUUGGGACAAAAGGCUUUGUUGUUGUUGUUGUUGGAUGCCCCCAUGCCAAAACUUUUAUAGAAUAUAUGAUUCGAUUGUCUCAACAGCUAGAUGUUGGCCCUAGAACACAAGAACCAGGUGAGCAACCUGCUCACCUCCCUCUCCCUCACCUCUGUUCUAAGGUUGAAGAAGAGCUGAGCUCCUCUGCACACACACACACACACUGCUCUCUGCGUUGGCUGAGAG